CUGUGGGAUUAAAAAAAAAUGGUGAUUGGACAAUAUUUUUUUUUCCUGGUAGUCAGGACAAACUCAGCUAGUAUCUGUGUCUUUGAAAGAGUCUUUGAGCAUAUUUUUUUUUAGCUUACUUAUUCUCAAUUAGUCUUUGAUCUGGACAGGGUCCAACCAGUUAAGAAAAAAUAAAACUGUUAUCAGUAUUAUAAUGUCCACCCACUAAGCAACCUAUUACUCAAGUCAAAAACAUUCUUUUUUCAGAUCACAGUGUGACGGAUAUGACAAUGUUAUUAAUCUAAAUGACUUAAAUUUUUUUCAAACAUUUACAUGUACAAUACACCACAACAUAGAUCUAUAUCAUAUAAAACAGUCACACUAUAGAAAAUACAGAGAGGCUGAACUUUAUGUCUUUGUUCAAUGUGAGAUCUAUUCUUUACUCUAUUUUUCUAUAAACCAAAGAUUAUACAGUUUAGCUGGAUUUUUUUUUUAUCAUACUUGAAUGCAAAACUAAAUAAAUGUCAGUCAUAGACAACUGAUUUUCUCAUCCAAAAUCCAUGUAAAUAUAUAUAUGUAUUUUCUGACAAGUUUAACAUGUUGUAAAUGAUUUAAAACAAACAUUUCUUGUUGCGUUAAAUGUAUAAUUUAUUUUUCUUAUGCUAUAUCAAAGAAAUCUGGAGCAGCUCUGUGAAGAUCGGCUGAGCUGCUGCAUUCUCUUUACUGUUCAUCAUCGCCCUCUGGUGGCUCUCGGUGCAUUUGCAUUAUAUUGCUACUAAAUGCACAGAAUAUCUCAGCUGAACUCUUCCGUCAGGGCUCUGCUGAGAAAGCGAGGAUAGACGGCGUUGCACAACAACGUGCCCCCAGUUGAAAGCUCUUCCUUCCUCCAUGCUGGCAUCGGUUGCCUUGAAAAGAUGCACACGUGCCAAAAAAAUAGUCUUUUUCACUGCUAAAGUGCAGACUUACACACAACGCACAUGGUCCGUGCUUUCCUGGAAAUGCCAACGGGUGCUGGCAUUUUCUAAACCAACAUCGGUUUUGCAAGAAUAGGAGAAAAUGCUGUGGACUUCCUUCUAUUGUUUGGACACUGAUCGGGAAGCUGCAGUAAACGGCGUCAGCUUUUUCUGACAUGAUAGGCAAAUAAUCCCAGAGAGCACCGCCGAUGGAACUGAUUGUGCAGUUUAACAAAAAAAAACAAGGUUACAGGGUUAAUCACAGACUGAUUAAGAAAGAAACAAAACUUUUUUUUGAGCCCACUCACUGUAUGUGAUUAUCACAAAUUCAGUUCUGUGGUCAAAUUAUCUUUCACUUAUUUUAUUGCAGCUGAUCUAUUCAUCUUGCUGUCCUCUACCUCCUCCUCCCCCUCCUGCAGGCCCACUUUGACAGCUGAAGAGUGUUUUGCACUGUGUGGGUCGGACUCUGUGUUUGUACAGUACCAGGCAUUAGUCACCCAGGUUGGUGGAUGGAGAAAACGAGAAUCUCAGGUGGGUGGAAAUGCCCUCAUAUUGGAUCACACAGAGACCUCGGAAAAACAAAGAACAAAGCGUCGAAGAUGAGAGUAACAACUAUAACAACAGAGUUUUAUAAAUAGCUGUAAAAAAAAAAAAAGCAUUUAAUGUCUUUUUUCUUUAUUGAAAACUUUAAAGUUUUGCCUGUUGCCAGUAGAUUUGUGUAAAAGCAUGGCUACUCUGGGUUCCUUUGCAUUUUUAAGAAGAAUGAAAAAUGAAAGCCAUAAUGGAAACCUAGAUUUAGUUUUUUUAAAUUGCUUUAUUUGAAUAACAGUGACUGGCAUUGUCUGUAGUUCAACAACACUAAAAAUCAAGGGGUUAAAAAAUAUAAAUCAAACAUAUAAAACGAGUCUCAAACGUUCACAAAAAUCGAGCAUAUUUUCACAAGCCAGCGCUCUGACUAUUACACUGUGAUUGAGCAAUUUUCUCCAGGAAGUGGUGCUUGUAUCUGUGAGUUAAUCAUUAACUUAGAAGCAAAAAAAAAAAAAA